rnacentral:rRNA from 1 species
GAUGAACGCUGGCUACAGGCUUAACACAUGCAAGUCGAGGGGAAACGACGGGGAAGCUUGCUUCCCCGGGCGUCGACCGGCGCACGGGUGAGUAACGCGUAUCCAACCUGCCUCUGACUGAGGGAUAACCCGUCGAAAGUCGGCCUAAUACCUCAUGGCAUCGUCUGCGGGCAUACAACGACGAUUAAAGAUUUCAUCGGUCAGAGAUGGGGUUGCGUCUGAUUAGCUUAUUGGCGAGGUAAAGGCCUACCAAGGCGACGAUCACUAGGGGUUCUGAGGGGCAGGUCCCCCACAAUGGAACUAAGACACGGUCCAAACUCCUACGCGGGGCAGCAGUGAGGAAUAUUGGUCACUGGGCGAGAGCCUGAACCAGCCAAGUAGCGUGCAAGAUGACGGCCCUAUGGGUUGUAAACUGCUUUUAUGCGGGGAUAAAGUGAGUGACGUGUCCUUCAUUGCAGGUACCGCAUGAAUAAGGACCGGCUAAUUCCGUG